CUCUACUCUGAAAUUCCUUGUCAGUCUUCACAAAUCCAGCAACUAAGGCUCGAGGUAGAGCCUGAAGCCAUUCCAAAGAUUAUUCAGAAUUACAAAGAUUAUUCUGAGUAGUUUAUGUUACGUAAAUAAGAGCACCAGCUCGGCCAUGCCAUCAUCCCCACCCCGGGGUGGAUCACCUCAGCCGAAUAGUACGAGCAGAACACUGAUAGUGAGCCUUCUAUAAACAUGGGCCGACCCGAGACGAGUACCAGCCAGAGGAAUAUACCGACCAGAGACAUAUACCGAGCCGAUACCUGUCCCCCAAAGAGCGGGAACACGAUCUCACAGAAUCACGAUAGUUGCGUUUUUCCCAGAACCGUUGAAGGAGAUGCGAUAUCCCACGUUUGCCCACAAUGUAGCAGUUAGAGUCCCAUGAGGGGUUGCCACUACCCGGAAAAGGGGGGAUGAAAGGUGAACGGAAACGUGGGACAGCGGCUAUAAAGAGGAAGAAAUCGAUAAAAAAAUGGAUGAAAAAACUGAGAGAGAAGGGAAAACUCUGCCAAAUUGAAACUAGACUGUUUUUCUGCCUAAAUUGAGAGUGAAUCAUAAGCCAUUCCGAAAUCUAAAUUGAACCGUUUUCCCGUAAACACCUUGUGCUAACUUAGGCAUCAGGGGGUUUACGCCGGUAAAACCACCGGCGUCUCUGAUCCAUUUCUUUGUGAACGCAGAAUUAGCAAGAUAAAAAGGGGUGAUUUCAAUCUAGUGACAUAAGCAAUCGUUAAGACGAGAAGGUAGCGAUAUCGUUCCAUCAAACAUAUAAACGUUGGUGAAAAAUCUGAUCGGAUAAAGGGCGAGCAAAUUUCAGCAUCAACAGUUUAUUAGUUGAUUAAGAAUAUUCUUAGUAGUUUAUUAGUUGAUUUCUCCAGCCAUAUUGGGAAUUCGGAAUAUUAAUGGCUUCUUACUCGUUUGUUGUGUUCUUUGUUAUUCUAAGAACAAAACACUAUCUGCUCCGAGUUAGUAAUUUUUUUUUUCUUUUUGUACAUUUACAUAAGCUAUGUCUAAUCUAAUAACAUGCAACAAAACGAGUUCCUAUUUUUCAGUCUCUUUUUAUUUAUUUGUUGGAUUUCGGCCGUCCCUUUACCUGUAUUUGGAGAAAGCAGCAGAUUUGUUGCAGCAAGUUCUGUAUCUGGUUGAGAUUGGCUAUUCUGUCAGUUGCCUGUCCAAUUUUGUCAAAAUUUGGAUGAUUUGAGAACAUCGUGACAUUUUUUCGUAGUCUCAACUAACACCAGUCUUUGUUUAAUUCUGUUGCAGGAAACAGAAAACUCAGAAAACAGUAAUGUAUCUUUUUAAUCAAAUACAUUAAUGGUGUAUUGCUACUUGACUAAGGCAAGUGUCCGGCUUAGGUCCGUCGUUUAUUAUAUUUUUGCUAUUGUUCUACAUUCAAAUAAAUUCCGAUACCUUAUAAUCGCUUCAAAUUUCUUCUCUGCCACUUGUGUUUUCCUGCAACUCUCAAUAGAAUCAAGGGACAUCUGCUAGCACAAUUUUUGGACCAUCCAAAAUUUUCUGAACUAUUUUUUGGCUUCUACUCAUGGUUUUGAGGGAAGCAUCCAUCUGUCUUUAAGUAGAGAAAGAAAUUUUAAGUUGACAGUGACUCCUUUCUCUGGUUGCAGGAGCAUCAGCCAUUGCAAUUGGCAUAUUGAUAUUUAUAGCCUUUUACUUCAGGAGAAAACUUUCAUCAUACAAUUCCACUGAAAGUUGUCUGAACAUUGAGACAUUUUUAUGGAAUUAUGAAUCUCAGGCUCCUAAAAGAUAUUGUUAUGUAGAUAUUAAGAAAAUGACCAAUUAUUUCAAACAUCAACUUGGCCAAGGAGGCUAUGGAGGUGUUUACAAAGGAAAACUACUUUGACGGUCGUAAUGUGGCAGUAAAGCUCUUAAAUAAUUCAAAAGGCAAUGGUGAAGAAUUCAUCAACGAGGUUGCUAGAAUUAGCAGGACUUCCCAUGUUAACAUUGUCACUCUUUUAGGAUUCUGUUUCGAGGGUCGCAGAAGAGCUCUGAUCUACGAGUUUGUGUCCAAAUGGAUCCUCUUGAGAAGUUCAUUUAUAGAAACAGCUUAUCCACGGAAAAUCAUGAAUUGGCACGAGAAACAUUGCUACAAAUUGUAGUAGGCGUAGCUCGAGGAUUAGAGCACUUGCACCUUGGCUGCAGUACAUGAAUUCUGCAUUUUGACAUCAAGCCUCAUAACAUUCUCCUAGAUGAAGACUUCUGUCCCAAGAUCUCUGAUUUCGGCCCGUGAGGAAAUAAGUUGCUGGUUCGUUGGGUUUAAAUGCAAGUUUGGAAGAAUUCUUGGAGCAGUGUGCAGAUCGACUUCAGUUGGAGGGGUCUAGUUGAAAAACUUAUGCUGAUGUGGCAGAAUUCGUUGAGAGUUCGUUAUGACUUUUUCCAGAAAUAUCAGAAUAAAAGGCACUUGUGACUAGCCUCUGAUAUCAUAUCGAUAUCUUCUUCAUUUCUUGUUCAUUUUGCUUGCAAUUUGGUUCAUUGUGAUCCUUGUAAUUUCUUCUUUGUGAUUAGGUUGUAAUUCGAUUGUUGAGAUCAAUGAAAGAGCAGUUUUUUCCUUCAUCAAUUUGUGUACUUGAAACUGUGCUCUGAAUCUGUUUCUUGUGAUUUUUUUCUUGAUUGGUUUACUCUGAUCAGUUCUUUCAAGUCCAAUUAUCAAAGUGCUUCUUGAAAUUUCUUGUGUAGCUGUUAUGAGUUAUAACACGGCCUAUAUAAAAUCUGCAACAGGAAAGAAAGUAUCAUCUCAAUGACAGGGGCACGGGGGAAUGUUGGGUAUAUUGCUCCAGAAGUGUCUGUAGAAAUAUUGGAGAAGUCUCUUACAAGUCACAUGUUUAUAGCUACGGAAUGAUGAUUUUCGAAAUGACUGGAGCAAGAAAGAACGUAGAUGCUCGGGAUAAUGGAAGCAGUGACGUAUAUUUUCUGCAUUGGAUUUACAAACGUCUUGAAAAGGAUGAAGCGCUUGGAUUGCACGGCAGUGAAAAUGAAGAAGGUAUAGAAUGUGCAAGGAAGAUGAUAAUUGUAAGCUUGUGGUGCAUACAGACUAACCCCUCAAGCAGGCCAACAAUGAGUAGAUUGGUGGAAAUGUUGAAAGGAACCCUUGGUUCCUUGCAAAUUCCUCCCAAGCCUUUCUUGUCUUCUCCAGGAUCACCAGCAGAUUCUUCAACCAUCCACGGUAUACUAACUUUGUAAUCCCAUUAGCUAUGAAAAGGCACAUUUUCCUGCUUAGGAAUUAAUACGUCCAUUUCGAUAAAUAUCAGCGUAUAACACUGAUACAAUUUUCAAUUUUUCACUCAUUGAAGGCGUGAGUUGCACUUCUUUGGGACAGUAAACUUUCGUUAGUAAUCUUGGUGGUAUAGUUAGCACUAUAGCUAAAAAAUGCCUAAUAAAACCUUGAUUUAUUUGUGGAAAGUGACGUGAGAAAGAUAAGGCGAGAUAUGGAGAGUGCAAAAGUCAUAUUAAAAUUAAUCAAAAGCCAAGUCAUCUUCUAUAAUUAAAUCUCAGCUAUUUAUACAACUAAGAGAUGAGAGCCCAUAUGACAUGUCUUACAAGAUUUAGGUCUAUGUAAAUUUCAAGCAUAGCAACAUCAAGUAAAGAGCUUUAUCAAAUGUUAAGAUUUCUCCAAAAACGUGAACAACGUUUGAAGGCCCCUUUUUAUUAGCAUUUUCGUUAUUAUUACUAUUCUUACUUCAAGAGGAGAAUUACAGCGUCAAGCUUUCUUAGUCCUAGUUGUGGAAAGGGAGUUUGGAAAUUUUUCAUUUAAUCACGGGUCAACCAUUUACGUCCUUCAAAUUCAUUUUUCCAAGUCAACUGACUUGUUCAAGACGAUAAACAACUGAAAGAAAUAGCAAAGAUGACUGGGAUAAAAGAUGCAAUGCGGACAGAGAUUAUUCUUAGUUGAUCUCUCUUGCCAUUCAGGGAUUCUUCUAAUGGCUCACGUCUCUUAUCUUAUGUUCUUCAUUCUCUCGUAUCUUUUGCUUCUUUCCUUAGCUCAAGAACAAAUGAGAUUCAAUCUAAGUUGUCCAUCUUUUUCUUGUGAAAAAUUCCGCAAUAUCAACUUCCCCUACUCUAUACGAACACACCCUGAGUGUGGAUUCUGCUUAGUGGAUGACUGCGACAAGCCAGUUCAAAAGAUUCAACUGGGAAAGAAUGAGCCAUGGUUAUCUGUCACUAGCAUCUCUGCGGAUCAAACUGUUACACUUUAUGAUCAAGUGUUUUAAAGGCACUUGGACAACCGCAGCUGUGAAUCCUUCAAAAAUAUUUCUCUUCCCAGCUCUCCUUCCAUCUCUUUUAAAAUCCUAUCAAAUUUAACCCUGUUCAAAUGCCCCACAAUUCUUGGCAACAUUCCCAUGAAUUUCAAUAUGUCCUGUGAUGACUCCACGAUCUUUUACAAUCACCCAGAUGACGAUGAUCUACCAAGUCUUCCACCUCAGUGUUCACUUAUUCAGCUCCCAGUGGCAGCGAGUAAGACUCGCUACGCGUCUGACUUGUUUCGUCUGUUAACUGGCAAUUUCUCUCUAAAAGUACUCCCUAACUGGCGUGCAAGACGACAAUGUAUUGACUGUCCUUCGAGAGGAGGAGGCCAAUGCCUAAUUAACAGCAAGGGGUAUCUUCACUGUUCAAAUGGAAUAGUAGCUACAGCAAGUUACGGUAAGGUUCUCACAACUUCUCAAGUUUUACUUAUCAUUUCUUUACGAUCUAUACAAAAUUCAUUCAUAGAAACAGUCAUGUCAUAACCAUUAAGCUUGUUUAACACCUAACUACAUCAAAGUUUAGUUCAUGAUAGGUGAUAAAAUGGUAGCAACACACGUUUUUGCCGUCAAAUAUAUUCCCAUAAAGAGAUGAAAACAUGCAAAUAAAGAUGAGGAAUUGAGAUUCACUAAAUUCAAGAUGUCCCGCUCCUAGGUUUUGCGAUGUCUCCUACUUUUUCUUUGAAAUCCCUUGUUGGAACCCCCAACUCUCUCUUAUUCUCUUAUUUUUCUUUUUCUCUUCGUUGCUUCUAUGUGUCGGCCCCCUCCCUCUUGUUUCUUUCACGUGUGCUUUUUUUAUAUCUUAGAAUUAGGGCAAUCAAAAGCAUGUGGCCACGUGUCUCUUUUUUUGAAAACUUGGAUCGCAUAUCUUUUUGUGCCGCCUGUCACUGCUUUGUCAAUUAAUAUGCGGGUAGUCUUGCCAGUAUUUGCUCUUGGAUUGCUGCAACAAUUGCUACAACAUCUUCUCUUAUUCAAAUUUGUUUUAGUUCAUCUGCAGAUAAGUUUUUUGUCAUUUCUGCAAGUCUACUACUGCAACAAUCCAUCCAUAAAGUUUGAGUUUUUUGGUCACCUACAAUCAUGCACAUAAUCAUAACACAAAAUGAUAUAAAAUAUAAUCAAUUUAGUAAAAUUAAACUUAUAUAGAUGCUCAUGCAAAAUGUAACUAAAGAUGUAAUAAAAACAUAUAAUUUACUCUCUAAGUAAUGCUAGUUUAAGUUUAGAAAUGUCAUGAUAAUUCUCAUUUCAUGAAGUUAUCAAUACAUAAUCAAUAGACAUCAAAUAUUUUUGUGACUUGAACUCUUUGUGCUCUCACUCGUGCUGCUUCGGGAUGAUUUGCUAUGUCAAACGAGGGUUCUAUUUGUAGCCAAAAAGUGGUUUGAUGACAUGUCAAAGAAAAUGGACCAAAUCCUUCAUUUGCAGCCUCCAUAUCUACUUGAGAAUUUAGACCAUGCAAACAUAUUAAAACAAUGAUUUUGGUGUUGCAUUUUGGUAGUGUCGUUAAGGUGCACAAAAUUUAAAACCUUACCACUAAUAUAAAUAAUUAGUACAUAACGAGUAAGGAUCGUUAAAAUAAAAUAAUAGUUAGUUAUAUUUAUUAUUAACUCCAAAGCAAGAUUUAAAAUAAAAUAAUAGUAAUAGUAAUAAUAAUAUAAAUUAGUCUAACUAAAGAAAAUACCAAUUAAAAAUAAAAGAGGGGUUUAUGAAUUUUUAACUAAAUAGUAAGAAAUAGAGAAAUUAAAAUUACGAACAAGAAUUUAACAAUUUAUAUUGUUAAAGGAGAAAGAAAUAAUAAUGAUGAAAACUUUGGUUAAAGGAUCAUUCGCCACCACCAAACAUGCACAUAAUAUAUCAAUUCUAUUAUCAAUUUAUAUUGAACUGCUGUACCGUACAUCCGCCUUGGCCGUACAGCAGUUAUAUGUUAAAAUUUAACAACUUUUAAUUUUUCUUAUUUUGUAUAAACAAUAGGGGCAUGGAUCAAGAAUUUUAAUCUAGCUGAUUCCAACCUGCUACUAAUGAUUAAAAUAUCAAGACAAUUACAGAUCAAGAAUUUUAAUCUAACAAUAAAAUUUAUUCAAGUCCUAUCUAAUUGGCCACUCAAACAAAACAAGAAUAAACCAUGAACAUUAAUUAUAGAAGAACAUAAACAAUCUCAAUUAAAUAAAUUGAAUGAUAGAAUUUAAAUUUAAAUUUAAUUGCAUAUUAGGGUUUUGAAUUCACCCUCAACCAAAUAAAAAUUUAGCCUAACAUAAUUGAAUUGGGAAUAAGGAAAUUGAUAAAAUCAGUCAUGAAAAUUAAUUCAAGCGGCUGCCUUUUUCUUCAAUUGAAUUCCGGCUGCUGAUUUUUUUCUUCUUCUUGCCGAAUUGGAUCAGUUUUGCUCCAAACCUGCAGCUGCUGCUCUACUCUUCUCCCGAUUCUCCUUUUUUUUCUCUCUGGCAGCUCUCCUUUUAUAAUGCUCUAAAUCCUCUCACGAAAAGGAUUAAAAACAAAAGUAAAGCCGCCACUUUUCUUUUCCGUCCAGCGUCUGUUGGCUUCUUUGGCGGCUACCCCCUUUCUAAAACCAAAGUUUGGCUUUUAUAUUUAGUCUUCAAAUGGGCUCCACCGACUUUUCCAACUCUUAAGCCAAAGGCCAAGCCUUUUAAUUUGCUUUGGCUUCCCUCACGUGCACUCUUUAAUUUGGCUAAUAUUUCUCAUGUCCUUCACCACGGCAGCGAGCAUCAUUCCCAAAAUGCACCUAAAAUAACAAAAUAUAAAAAUUAACAUAAAAUUAACAUAAUAAAAUAUAAUUUACUAAAUUAAAAAUUGACUAAAAUAACUAGAAUAUUUAAGACCAAAAUAAGAAAAAGAUAGAGAAAUUAAUAGUAAAAUAUAUGAAAAAUAUGCACUUAUCACAUUUAUUGGGUAUGAAAACAUAUCUCCGAAAGUUACCUACAUCAGUUGAAUUUCUAGCAUAAAAUGGCUAUUCUUCUAAUUAACCAUUAAUGCAUGUAAUAUCCACUUUAUUAUUCAUUCAUGCACUACUUUUUCAACAAAAAGGCCAAGAAUUGAAUUAACUUGGGAUUCAAGAUAGGUAGCAUCCUGAAAACUUCUGUUCCACACUAAAUUAGUAAACAUGCAAUAAUAACUUUGAAAGCAUUCCAGAUUUAUCGUUUGUGGUAGAUAAAUAGAUCUCUCUGUUGUAACCACGAAAAAAGUGGGGGGGGAACAACAAUAGAUAUAUAAUUGCUUUGAAAAAUUAACAAAUAAUUUCUUUGUUUUUCAUAAUCUAAGGUAGUGAGUAUUAUAAGAAUUGACAAUAUAUGGUACACGUGACAUUGACUAAUUAAUUAACUAAAGUAAAUCAAUUUAUAAUUAUUAUCCAAUUAAGAGAUGAUAUUAUUUAAUUAAGCCAUAAAUUAAAGUAUAUAACUUAUUCAUGUCUUUGACAAAAGGAAGUGAAAGAGUUAUGUUAAUCUCACUUGUUUAAUAGUAGGAGUUCAAGAGUCUUAAAUUGUAUCUUAAGGCUAAUUAUAAAAAGGGUCCCUACUCUAACCAAUUCGCUCGCACUCAAUUUUGUUAUCCCUCACAAAGAAGCUAUAAGUAGAAUUGGGUAAAAGAAACCUUACGUCAACUGUAGUGUAUGGAGAAUACUUAGAUCUUGAACAAUUAUAUUUAGAGAUACGGCCCUAUCCACAAUUUAUUAUAUAAGAGCAUGAAACUUUCCCUUCGUAUUUUAUGCAGCCUAUAUCACAGAGACGUAAAAACGGAGAACAUUAGGUAAUUCACAGCUGCAUUUAUUUUUAAGGAAAAAAAAAAAAAACAUUCUUACUUCAAGGGGCCCUUCUCCUGGACGAGUUAAACACUUAUCCAUCAUUUUGAAUAAGAAUUUCACGUCCUACAGCUGCAAAGUGUGCAGUAGAAUGCAGUCAUGCGCAGCUCGAACUUCUUUCAGUAUCACUACAUCUACAAGUCUUUCCAAGUCAACUGGGGUGUUCUAUGGAUUUAGCAACAAAACAUGUGGACAAGGAAAAAUAGCAGAAAUUGCAAGAUAAUUUGAAGAAUUACAAAGAUUAUUCUUAGUAGUUUAUUAGUUGAUUAAGAAUAUUCUUAGCAGUUUAUUAGUUGAUUUCUCCAGCCAUAUUGGGAAUUCGGAAUAUUAAUGGCUUGUUACUCGUUUCUUGUGUUCUUUGUUAUCUCUCAACUUUUACUUCUUUCUUCGGCUGAAGAAGAAAGUGAACUGAAUAAAACAUGUCCAUCUUUUUUUCCCUCAUGUGGAAAUCUCGGUCAAUUUUUCUUUCCUUUCACCAAUAGGACGCAUCCUGAAUGUGGGUUGAUGUUAGUAGAUAACUGCAACAAACCAGUUCAGAGAAUUCGAUUGGGGAAGGCCGGGCCGUUUUAUAAUAUUUUAAACAUAGCCCAGGAUGCUUCAAUCACUCUUGAAGACCAAGUGUUUCAAAAUCACUUGGGCAACUCUAGCUGUGAAUCCUUCGAAAAUUUGACUCUCCCCACCUCUGCUUCUCUCUCUUUUCAUAUCAAAUCAAAUCCGAGCCUCUUCAGAUGCACCCACAAGCUUGAGAAAAACCUCCCGAGUUUCCAUUUUACCUGCAACCAUAACUCCUUUAUUUAUUACAAUCACCCGGAUGAUGCUUUACCACGUAUUGUUCCACCUAACUGUUCACUGAUUCAGCUCCCAGUGAAUAAGACUAGAAAAUCUGAUGACUUGUUCAAUAUGUUAACUUCAGUUUUCUCUCUUCAAGUGGAAAUACCCUGGUUUUGUUGGGAAUGUGGCUGGAGAGGGGGCCAGUGUCGAAGUGAUAGCGAGGGAAAGUUUCAAUGUGCUGAAUCAAGAGAAUGUAAUGAUUGUCUUAAGAAACGAGGCCACUGUCAUUUUGAUGACAAGGAAAAUUUUCAAUGUGAAAACGAACGGACAGGUAUCAAAAGUUACAUAAGGUAUUAGGACUAGUUCAUCUUCAUGAACAUAUACACGUUCGUUCAUAGUCUUUCUGCUCUGUACUACUCACAUUAUUAAACAGUUGUAAAAGCUAGGUCUAUUUCGAUAACAUGCCACAAACGAAUUCCUCUCUUUAUACACUGAUUUCUUUAAAAAAAAAAAAAAACUGACUCCUUACCCGGGAUUGGAAGAAGCCGCUAAUUCAUCUCAGGAAGACAAAAAUAUAAGUUUGAGAUGUGCAGUCUCUCUGUUUCUGUGCGAUGCUGUCAAGAAUUUGGAUGCUCUAAUUACAUAACUGCUGUAUUUAUUGUCUAAACUAACACCAUUUUCUUUGUAUUUGUGUUGCAGGACAUGAAAAAUCGGAAUUAAAGCUAGGCCUGGGACUAGGUAAUAUACCUCUCUAAUCUCUGCUGCAUAAAUUUCUCUGCAGCCUUCAAUGGGAAUUGAAAAGAAAUUUCAUUUGUAAUUUGUGUUUUCCAGCACAGCACCAUGUUGGUGAAAAAAAUUAAAGCUUUUCAUUUUGCACAUUAGGUGGCGGAUCAAUUGUCCUGAUUGCACUUUUGUCCUUCUGGAUCAUGUUCUAUAGAAAAUUUUCAUCAUACGAUUCCACUGGAAGUUGUCUGAACAUUGAGACAUUUUUAAGGAAUCAUGGAUCUCUAGCUCCUAGAAGAUAUAGCUAUGCAGAUAUUAAGAAAAUGACCAAUUCUUUCAAAUAUAAACUCGGCCAAGGAGGCUAUGGAAGUGUUUACAAAGGAAAACUAAUUGACGGUAGUAAUGUGGCAGUAAAAGUCUUAAAUGAUUCAAAAGGAAAUGGUGAAGAAUUCAUCAAUGAGGUUGCUAGCAUUAGCAGGACUUCCCAUGUUAACGUCGUCACUCUUUUAGGAUUCUGUUUUGAGGGUCGCAGAAGAGCUCUCAUCUACGAGUUUGUGUCCAAUGGAUCUCUGGAGAAGUUCAUUUAUAGAAACAGCUCAUCGAUAGAAAAUCAUAAAUUGACCUGGGAAACGUUGCUCCAAAUUGCAGUAGGCAUAGCUCGAGGAUUAGAGUACUUGCACCUUGGCUGCAGUACACGAAUUCUGCAUUUUGACAUCAAGCCUCAUAACAUUCUCCUAGAUGAAGACUUCUGUCCUAAGAUCUCUGAUUUCGGCCUAGCUAAAAUCUGCAACAGGAAAGAGAGUAUCAUCUCAAUGACAGGUGCACGGGGGACUGUUGGGUAUAUUGCUCCAGAAGUGUUCUGUAGAAAUAUUGGGGAAGUCUCUUACAAGUCGGAUGUUUAUAGCUACGGAAUGAUGAUUUUCAAAAUGACUGGAGGAAGAAAGAACGUUGAUGUUGGGGAUAAUGGAAGCAGUGACAUAUAUUUUCCGCAUUGGAUUUACAAGCGUCUAGAAAAGGAUGAAGAACUUGGACUGCAAGGCAUUGAAAAUGAACAAGAUAAAGAAUAUGCAAGGAAGAUGAUAAUUGUAAGCUUGUGGUGCAUACAGACUAACCCCUCAAGCCGGCCAACAAUGAAUAGAGUAGUGGAAAUGUUGGAAGCAAGCCUCGAUUCCUUGCAAAUCCCACCCAAGCCCUUCUUAUCUUCGCCGGGCUCACCAGCAGACUCUUCAACUAUACAAAGUAUAGCAGACUCUUCAAAAAGUAUACUAAUAACAUUGUAAAAAUACCAUUAGGUAUCAGAAUGCACUGUUUUCCUCCCCCUUUCUACUUUGUAAAUUGGUGCAAUUUUCGAUAAAUAUGGAAUUAGAGACGUCCAUUUCAAUAAAUAUCAGGCAACAAAGAAUGACGCAGUUUUCACUAGAGUUCCACUGCUUUGGCACAUAGUAAUCUUUAUUUGUAAUCUUCGUGGCUUGGUUAGCACUAACGCAAAAAACAAGACCGCCAAAAGUUUUGGAAUUCUAAAGGAACACCCAAUAAUCAAUCAGCUCUCCCUGAGGCGCUAAAACUCAUUUUACAUUAUUUGCAUAUAUUACAUAUACAAUUGAUGUAGCACUAUGGUAAGAUUCAAACAAUUCACUAGCCUAAUGGAAAGUGGGCACAAAAAAAUAGAAUGAAGUGGGAAAGAAUAAGGAGGUUACAAUAAAGGAGUUAUGCUACUUUAACUCCACUAGGGCGUUUUCCUUCCAUGGCAUCCUUCUUAUUUCGGCAAUCAGCGCAGAGGAAAGGCCCUUGCCAGGGCUUUGAGCUAGUGGAGAAGAUGGAACCAGCAUGAACAGAGAUUCCCUCACUCGGAGCAAGGUCGAUUUGGCAUACAGCACAUGUAAAAAGACCAGAUGUUGAUUGCACCACAGGUUCUUCAUUACCCAGUCUGCAAAAUGCAUUAAAAAUUAUGACAUAGAUGCAACCAAAUAUAUGUGAGAAAGUUCUCACACAUUGAAGUACAAAUGGAAACAAACUUGGUGAAUAAUUAAAUGCCCAAAUUUAAGUUGCAACUGAAGUACUAAGCGAUUGAGAACUAGAUUUAGAAAAUCGAAGCAAUACUUUUGAGCCUUUCCAAUGACAAAAUGAACAUUUACACAUGCAAAGGAGACAGCAUUAACCUUUCGGCGAGCAUUGCCGAGCCUUCUUCGAACAGUUCUUCAACUAUUCCUACAGCUGAAAGUUUCUUUGAUAGUUUAUUUGCAGAAUCAAGGGACUUCUUCCUAAAUAGCAGCGCUCUCAGCUUAUUCUGCUUUUUGGGAGGAGGCUGAGGCUGCAUUGUAUUGUCAGGAGGAAUUAUGUCAACAACUAUGCAAGUUGUAUCAUCUUUCAGUCCCCUUGUCCUUAAUGCUUCCUAAAUAGUGAUCCAUCAAAUGCAGUGAGAAAACAUUCUAAGCAAUCGUCUAAACGACAAUCAACUACUCAAAAGCUAUGUUAACACGUUCUUCUAAAAAGAACUGGCAACAAAUACGUAGUAAAACAACAAAUUAAAUUACCUUCACCACUUGUCUGGCAGCGAGUUCAGCCGGCAAUCCACGGCAACAUUGUGCAGCCAUUUCUGAGGACAGGGCAUCCCAGAUUCCAUCAGAAGCAAUAAUAAGCCUUCCACCUGCAUUUGAUAGCUUUUAAAACAAUGAAGAAAGUAAGAGUUCACGGUGAAGAUAGACCUGGCAAUUUCCAUCUCAAAAUCAUGGGUAACAAAGUCAAAGAUGGAAAAGAAUCACAAGUGAAAAACAUGAUCUAGAAACCCCCAAAAAAAAGGGGGAGGGCAGAUACCUUUACUUGUUUGACAUAUGGUAUGGGUACUAUAAAUUCCCCAACAUCCAUGUCUCCAAUUGACCUAGAAAGGCAUAAACCACCAGGCCAGCAACGGAGGGGACCAAUCUGUCAAGAUUAUGCAAAUUCUGUUACAAACUGCAGGAUAGAUUUUUUCCAUUUUGUAGAAAUUAUGCCCUUUAGUUUAAGGCCAAUGAGUAAGACUUCUGAACAAUAUGUUAAAACACCUUACCUCAGCACCUCCAACAAUGCUAAGCCUCCCAACUUCACCCCCACUUGCAGUAACGCGUUCCCUCCUGCAGUUGCAGCAUAACUAAUUAAAGAGUCUAUCCAGAAUAAGGGAAGAAAUAAAGCUUUGAUACAGAAACACACUCUUCCACAUUCUCUUCAAGCCUGUGAUCUACAGUCAAGGUGGAAACAGCCCCACCCUGAGCAUCCAAUAUACAACGAGAAUCUCCAACAGAUGCAACAGUCACAGUCCAUCUGUCAACUAUAACAAAUGUAGCUGUGGUCCCAGAUGUUUCUCCUGAAGAUGAUUGAACAAGUAUAGCAACAUUACUUUUGCUUGAUUUACAACAAAAAGUCAAAGAUGGGAAAUAAAAAAGAACUGAAAGAAUGAAAAUAAGAACAAGGGAAAGUUCCAUGCCUCUACUCUGAAAUUCCUUGUCAGUCUUCACAAAUCCAGCGACUAAGGCUCGAGGUAAAGCCUGAAGCCAUUCAUCCCGCCCAAGUCCGCGGGGAAUAGCACCCAACACAUGAUUCAACAAAUUCUCCUUUGUAUAAAUUGCAGCAGCAUUCCCAUUGUGCCCAUCAAAUAUCUGAAAUUAGCAACAAAAGAAGAAGGGUAAGUUUUAUAAAACAAUAAAAGAUGCAGCCUAACACUCUGCGACCUAGAAAAAUAAUGUUACAUUCAAGAAACCAUAAAGUAUAAAAUGAAAUGCAU
rnacentral:lncRNA from 1 species